AACGCUGAAAGCAUCUAAGCGUGAAGCCCACCUCAAGAUUAGAUUUCCCAUAGCGUAAGCUAGUAAGACCCCUGAAAGACUAUCAGGUUGAUAGGUUGGAGGUGUAAGUACAGUAAUGUAUUCAGCUGACCAAUACUAAUAGGUCGAGGGCUUGAUCAAAUAUUUAUUAU
rnacentral:rRNA from 1 species